rnacentral:rRNA from 1 species
UUUAAAUUUAAAGAAUUUGGCGGUAAUUUAACUGUUCAGAGGAAUCUGUCCUUUAAUUGAUAAUCCACAAUGAAUUUUACUUUUAUUUAGUUUAUAUAUCUCUAUCAUUGAAUGUCUUUUUAAGGUUAAAUUUUCUAAAGGACUUUUAAGUCAAAAUGUUAGGUCAAGGUUUAAUAAUAUAAAAGUAGAGAUGGAUUACAUUUUUAUUAUAUGAGGAGUUUAAUAUGGAAAUAUAAAUGAAUUUGGAUUUGACAGUAAAUUAUUUUAGAAUAAAUAAUUGAUAUUAGCUCUAGAUUAUGC